CAGAUGCAAUACACAUCCCUACCAACGAUUGAUUCAUUUUACUUCGCGGUAUUAGUAACUUUUACGAUUGUCAUUACAGGCAACCGCGACGAAAAUGAAAAUAUAACUUUAUUAGCCUAACUACCGAGUUGUUAAUUGAGUUGCACGGCACUACUUUCCGAUAUUGAUUUCUUCACAAAAGAAGGUCGAAUUAACUCAGAUUCGAGACAGUAAUUAUUUGUGUUCGUCUGCUGCGGGAGAAUGCAAGGACAUUACGUCGAUAAUAAGGAAUCUGGGUACUUCGAUACACAAAACGAGCCCUGUCGAGUCCUAGUUCUACCUUUAUCCUGUUGGAUUUGGUCAAGGACAACUUCAUAAACGUUUUGCAGACGAUUGUGAUCGGUGGUUCAAUCAAUUGGAUGUUUUCCGGAUUCGUCACGACGCAGGAUCCGUAUCCACUGGCUCUGCGCGUUAAGUCAAUGUUGCAACGGGGCGUUGAGCCAGCCUCACUUAAUGCCGCCUGGGUGUCGUCAGCUUCGUGAUAUCUCCAGAAUGUGUUUGGCUGAGAACUAAUUACACGCUGGUCCUUGGAGAAUUGACCAUGGAUCAGACCCAAUCGAUGCAGGAUCAGCUGUCGAUAGUUCAGAUAGUUCAAUAAAUAAUUUAAAUAGUUUAGAUAGUUCAAUAAAUGAAUAAAGAUGCAUACAAAAGCUCAAUU